rnacentral:lncRNA from 1 species
ACAACUAGUGUGGAAGUUUUUAGGGACAUUUGUAUAGACCAAGGUUAUGACAUCUGCCAGAACCAUCACUGAAGUCCAUGCUGAGGAGAGGGAAAACCAACAUCCAGACGAGGACCUGGCUAUGGGUAGUGGGUACACUCCCUACAUAUCUACAUGACAACCCUGAUAUUCCAGCAGAAACCAUCAGAGAGCUUUUCAGUUCUGUGAGACUUUAACCUGGGGGGACCAGUAAGAUGGUGAAGAAGUUAUUCAUUGGUGACACAACCUAGCACAACCCAAUCUUCUCCAGGAUUAAAACCUACAGCCUUCUAAUAAAAGUCUUGUGUUGGACCUAUGGAGCUUACGGGCAGAGCUGGCUUGGUGGAAACAAUAUCAGGAGGCCACUGAAACCAGAGAUUAUAUUUAUGGUGAUGAUGUAGUGUGACCAGUUGCAGAGUUUGUGCAUAAGACAGUAACGUAGAGUGAUUCUACAUUUUGUUGGAAUCCUUGUUGCAGAUAUAGUCGGGUUACAGAUUUGCAGUAGCUGUCAGAAACCAGUAGCCACUCAAAAUAAAGGACCCACAUGACCAGACAAGUUGGCAAGAUUAUAAAUUCAAGCAAAGUGUGCCAAAAUUCAAGUCUGGAGAUAACAUUUACAAAAUCUUAGACAUUUUUAGCUCGACUAUUCGAGGAAUAGGGGAGCUAUCCUACUCGCCCCGGCGUCGGCGUUAGCGUGAGCGUGAGCAUCACACAAAUGUUAAAGUUUGCAUACCACCCCAAA